GAGAGAGGGAGGGAGGGAGGGAGAGGGAGAGAGAGAGAGAUGUCCAAUACUGCCAAUAUGAAUUUAUCUCUUCUGCUCUAAUUCACCGACCAGAUAAGAGCACAGCUCAAUGUAUCCUUUCUCUCUCUGUCACUCGCUACCUCUCUCCACCACACACACACACACACUCACACACACACACUCACACGCGCGCGCGCGCCGCAGCCGCAUGCGUCCGUCCUCGCGCCAGCGGGUGGCCGCCUGGCUGCUCGCGCUGCCGUCGGGGAGCGGCGGGGAGGAGUGCGCGCGCCGCGGCCGCCUGGAGAUGAUCUCGUUCUGGCUGCUGUGCUGGAAGCUGUUGAGAGCCACAGCUGGUGUGAGGAGGACAACAGCUGAGCUAACUGACGGUAACCCCGACAACGGCAGCUCUGGCAACAGUCACCCUGUGGACGAUUCUUCCAAUCCUACACAGCCGACGGAUCCAGUUACCAUGGAGAUCAGCUCCUCACCACCACUAGCAGACCUGGAGAGAGACAACCUUUUCAACUUCCACAACCAGGAAGUGGAGGAACUCCAGUACCCAGAGUUCCACGGGUUGGAAGAAGAUGCAGAGGGAGAAGAUGGAAAAAGGGAAGGAGACGAGUGUGACUAUCUUGUUUUUGAGAUAGAAGAAAGAGGAGGUGAAAGUGAAGAGGGACAAGACGCAGCGAGAGGAGAAAAGGAGGGAGGAAGAGGAGAAAUUGAGGGAGAGGAUGAACUGAGAGGAGAGAUAGAAGGAGAAGAAGGGAGAGGAGAAACAGAGGGGGAAGUUGAAGAAAGUGGAGAAAUCGAAUUUGAAGACAAAGAUAGGGGAGAAGUCAAGGGAGACGAUGGAAGUAAGGUAGAAACCGAGAGCAAAGAUUGUGGGAGCAGAGAGAUAGAGGGAGAAGAUGAAGGAAGUGGAGAAGCAGAGGGAGCGGGAAAAGAAGAUGCUCUGUCGGAGCUUCUCUUCUUCUCCGACAGUCCACUGUGCCCCCCGUCCUCCUCCGAACACCCGACUGUCACCUCAGAGCAGCCAGCGGAGUCGGCCCUGUUGCAGGAUGCCUGGGUUCACGACCUGGGCGACAGGGAUGACCUCAGCGACGGUCACCUGAGCGACUGUCUCCAGGCAGAGUUGGCCGUCGUGUACUCGGACAGUGACGCCGGAGACGACCAGUGGGCGUCCUUCACGGCCACGGAGGUCAGCCAGCAGGAGCAAACGUGCGAUGGAGAGAGCAAGCAAGAGGAGAGAAGAGAGGGGGAAACAGAGGAGGAGAGGAGGGGAGGCAGGGAUGAUGAUGAUGGUGAUGAUCAGCAGCAGACGAUGAGGAGAGAGCUUUUCUUGCAGUCUCCUUCUGCCAGCUCCACAGCCAGCUCCUCGGACCCUGACAAGAGGGCUCCUGCGGAUUUCUGCGUGCACCAGGAGACGCUCAGUGCCAACGUCUCCACCGAGCAUGUCGACUUUCUGCUGGCCCGCCGGCAGUGGAAGAAGAUGGAGGAGGAUGUCAAAGGUCAGCCCAUCCCCAAACCGGGGCUCAGGGCUCAGGGGAGCUUCCAGGGCACCCACACGUCACUGUACCCCCCAACGCGCAGCCCCCGACUCAAACACAGGGAUAUCCAUCCACCAAUGCCCCGGGAGCCGCCGCUGUCCUCCACUCUGUCCCCCAGUUCAGAGGACUCGGGCCUGGAUGACCCGUCGUACCGCAGCCCCCUGGAGGAGCCCGAGAGCGCCGUGGAGAGAGAGAUACGACUGACUCUGGAGAGAGAAGAGAGGCACCGCAGGGAGAGGGGGAGGAUUGCACAGGGUCUGACUGUACCCAGACCAUCCAGCCUGCAGACAGGACGCUCUCCACCCCGACCUCCUGCCUGCCGCACCCCCACUCUGUCCGUCUCUCCUUCCCCUCCCUGCUCCUCUACCCUCCCCCGAUCCGUCUACCAUGAAAUGACCGCCAACAACGUCAUCAUCCUGGAGCCCGACUCCUCCAGCUCCGCCUCCAGGAGCCGCCUACUCUCCUCCGCAAUCGGGGGGUCUCUCCGAUUGGCCGAUGAGCCUGGACGCGGUGCCCUCGGCCAACGUCAUCGUCGUGGAAACCUCCAACUUGAUCAUUCGCAGCGCCUCCGAGUUCUGCCUGAGCGCCGCCGUCGCCGCCGCCCCGGUCACGCUGGAGACGCAGGAGAGCACUUUCUCUCGUCCAAUCCGUUCUUCAAGCUGCGCUCGCUCAGCAGCCAGUCGCUUGUGGAACGGGAGAUCAGGAUGGUGAAGCAGAGGGAGGAGGAGUGGAGGAGGCAGAGGGAGGAGAUGUGGAGGAGGAGGAGAGAGGAGGAGUGGAGGAGAGGGAGGGAGAGGUACGAAACUGUGCUGGUGUCUCCAGGCCUGAAUGAUAACAUCAGCUUCAAUGUGCCAGAGGUUCCAGACAGAUGUGUCUCCUCCCCUUCAUCCCCGUCCAGAAUCCGCAAAAUGGAACGAUCCAGUUUGUCUUGUGACCAUAAGUUCCCCGCUUUCCUCUCUUCAGUGCCUCAACGACAGAACGCCAUGGCACAGAGAUGGGAGGCCUCCCUUUUAGCCAAUCAGAAGAAGGAGUGAGCAGGGCAGCGUUCGACACACCAUCGCUUAUUCCUCACUUUGCGCUUAACACUCACACAUUCCUGUCCUUCAGCGAUGUGCUGCAGUGAACUAUGAGUUCUGUUCACUGGUUUGACACAUUAAGAUUACUGUACUGACCGGGUCUGGGUUCACAUAUUUUAGUUGUUGAAAAAGUGAAAUAAUGAUUUUCUGCAUGCUGUCUAUGUAACAGUAUGACAAUGGAAGGUGAAAUGCUUUUCUUAUACAUAUAUUAAGAUCUUUCUGUGGCACAUUACUUGAGGGUGUAUCAAAAUAAUAACCGAGUAUAAAAUUGUAACCUUAAUAAUACCAGUUUUGACUUGGACCAAAGUUAUCUAUAGUGAUUUAUGCUGCGUUCCAUUAUACUUCGGAGCUCGGAACUCGGGUUUAUCGUUCCAGAAAAAUCUCGGAACUCGGAAUAACGACCUCCGAGGUAUAGUGGAACGCAGCAAAACUUUGGGAACUGGUAUCAAACACUUCUGCAUUCUCCUUUAAUAUUCACUGCACUUUCAUUUUCUAGAUGUGAAAAAUUGCACUGGUGCAACUAUUUAUUGAUACUGAUUGAUUUUUUAGUACUGUGACUGACUGUAAUACAGUGAUUUUCAAAGCUUUCCUGGGCAGUUAUACAUCAAUUUCUGACUUUUGAUUUAAUGCGUUCAUAAUUUAAAGUGAGACAUUUGAAAGCAUAUGUUUAUUUUAAAAUGCAUUGGAGAGAUUCCAGGGACAUGCUAAAAAUAAUAAGCAUGUUGUUCUUUUCAUAUGGCAAAAUGUAUUUUAAAGGUUCCAAUCCAGACUUUGAAAAUCACUGCCUUAGUAAAAAUUUUAUUAUGGACCAGAUUUCCUGCUCAGCCACCAAACAAUGCUCAUAGAAUAUAAUCUGGGUCACAUUGUACCAUAUAGACUUCAGUCACUCAAGGCAGCCGCAUUCACUUCUGAAGAUAUACAGUAGGGCUACAUCUGCUAACAAAAAGGUAAUUAUAGCACAUAAGAGUCUGUGUGUUCAGACUGAAUGCUCACUCACGAGCCCGAAACUGAGCAACUGAGGAGGCCACACACUCAUGCUGUGUUCCAUUGUACCUCGGAACUUGGAGCUCGGAAGUCAGGGUCAUCAUUCUGUCGUAAUCUUGGAAUUCAUGCUGCCUUCACAUGCUAGUUGGAAGAUCCACAUUCUCACGUGGGAAGUUGGAAUUACCAGAAUGUCAAGUUCAAGUACUUUUCUGUCGGAACGAAAUUGAAAAAAUGGCGAAAUGGCUGAUGUAAUAACUUUGCACCACGCUAGCAGACUAUAAUCCAUUUGUUAUGGAUAGAACAAGUCGGCAACUCGUAUUUACCAUAAUUCCGUAAGCAUAUGAAGGGAGCAUUACACUCUGAAGGUCAGAGGACAUUCAUACGGAAGCUGAGAU
ensembl:lncRNA